UCUCGAUCGCGUAUAAGCUAACUCAAAUUUGUAUGGAGUUAGAACGUUUGCCUACGUUUGCCGCUAGGGGCGCUGUUCAAGCUCCAUACAAAUUUGAAUUCACUUUUGUGUUGACAC
rnacentral:pre_miRNA from 9 species